rnacentral:SRP_RNA from 4 species
UGGGAGGUUGGCGCGGACGGAUUCCUCGCCAACCCGGUCAGGUCCGGAAGGAAGCAGCCGUAACGAGUCGUUUUCGGGUCGUCGUCCAACCUCCUUAAA